UCUUCUAACCCAUAGAUGGAUCCCAUCUACUCAUCCACACCUGCACGCCCGAUCUAGGAUCUCCGAUGCUCUUCCUCUCCUCAAGGGGCGUGGCGGCCGCCCUUUCCCUGCGGGUCGAGCGGGAAUACAACAUUCCCUCUUCUUCACCGCGCCAACGACCGCCACGACCGUGGUGCACGGAGACGCGCCGCUGGCCACCGCAACGUGGUGCGCACUAAGAUGCGCCGCUCGGAAGCGGCCAUAGUGCACACGGAGAUGCGUGAGCCCCUGUUUGGAGGGACUGCCAAGAGCGCGGCUACAGCGAGCGAGCGCCUUGGCAGCAUCGGCCCUCCCGCUGCUGUACUCCCCCCAUCUGACUUGCAUCUGCUGGCAACCGGAGGGUACGACAACGGUGUGGACGCCCUCAACAACGGGAAUGCUGCACGGGAAAAGUGGCGAAGGGGAGAAAAGGACCGCUUCCUCUGCUGCAGGUCACCGGAGCUCAUCCUCUGCAGGUCACGGGAGGCGCGGUGGCGCCAUUACUUCACUGCCCGUCAUAGCGACUUCUCUCCACAGGGAAUGCAGAGUGCAAUACAAAGGUUCAGCACCACUCUGCCGCGCGCUGGUGGUGACCGACCUGCACUGUGUCCCUUGCAUCAUCUACAAACCACUUUAAUUACGCUAUACUUAUUCGCGUGUCAUGCUAUAUGAACAUGCACUGCGGUUGUGAUUGUUAUGCUGGGAGCGAUGUUCCUCAUGGUCCCAGUAAUGCUGCUAGUAUGGAAGAGGCACUAGAUCCUUGUUGUCACAUUCCUUGAGCUCUCGUUGAUGGAGGAUAAAUGGAACAAGUGAUCAUCUAGUGGAGACAAAGAGUAUAUUGUUGUCCAUCACAACCCGCCAAGACAUAUGGUUGCCAUCAGGAGGGUUGACGACAAGAACACGAGUGACAACCUUAGUAGUUUAUAUGUGUUAUUCAUGUAAACUGGAUUGUACCGGUUCCUAAUCCUUGUUGUGUGAUAUAUGUUGUAUAUUAUCAUUUCAUGGAGGAUAUUCUAAACUGCUAGGUUUUAGAUACCAAUGGAUGGUUGCAUAUUAAGUGAUUUUGUC